GGUCAGCAGGAACAAUGGAGCAAGCAGGACAGGGCAAGCCUGUGCCGAGCUGCAGACACUUGAUAAAUGGGUGGGCAGGCGGCAAGUGACAAUAUGCAGACAAGUGAUAUCAUUUGCAAAUGGAUCCGGCAAGGGAAGCACGAAAACAGAGACGGGGGGAGACAAAGUCAGGGGCACGGUAAAGGUUUCUUUUAACCCUUGCAGGAGGGUGGGAAAUAUGGUAGCUUGGAUGCCUGGGAAAAAAGAGGUUGGGAAUACUGCUUCUUGGUCCCUUGCCUGCCACCUCUGGGAUAGUGGAACACCCCAUGAAGAAGGCACAUGACAUUCAUUGCUUUCUUUAAAAAUGCAUUUUUAAUAUCUUUAGCCUUGUCUCCUGAUGCAGAAAGAUUGGCAUCUUGAGAAUUUCCCAGGAUUUACCUUCCUUAACUCCUCCUUUGGAACGAUUCCCAUCUCCUUGUUCACUAGUGGUCAGUGCCUCAGAAAAAGGCUCAGUGCUCGGGCUGCACUGACCUCACCCUUCAGACCCCCCAGCACUGACAGUACCCCAUCAGCCUGGCGAGUCAGUGUCCCAGGAAACCCCACAUCCCACUGGCAGGUCAGUGGAAACAGGAAUGGACAGGACUCCUGGGUGUGCAAAUGGCUCUUCAGGAGAGGCUUACCCAGUGAGACAAAUUGGCAAACAGGAGAGGUGCUAUGCAUGUUUUAAAUAUUUGUGUAUGUAAAUACUUUGUAAAGGUCAGUCAUGAGAUUAAAUCCCCUCCUUUCCUCUAAACCCUUUCUAAACACUGGAAUGAGAAGCAAUCAUUGCCCAGAAGAUUGAAUGCAGAAAGGAAUAGACAGUCUACUUAAGCUGUAGGACCAAUUUUUUUUUCAUUACAAAACUGUUAUGUGUCUCUCUUACUGGCCAACAGUCUCCACCUUUCUUUCAUGUGUGUAUUUUUUCUGGCCUCAGUCACACAAGAAGUUUUGUAUCAUGGGCUGUUUUCACACACCACGAGCUUUGCCUUCCUGUCUCAAACCCAGUUGUGCCAGUGACUGUAGGAAUGGAUCCUGCCCCGCUCUCCUCAGACUGCAUGGUGUAUGCCAAGGAAGUCUUGACACCUGUUUGGAGAACAUGUUCAGGGAUGGCUGAUGGGGCAGAACACUUUGGGAUUAUGGAGUUACUCUCAAUCUACUUGUGGCAGCGUCACCUCUGCAAAUGAGCCCCACGCAGAAUUUCCAGGACCAUGAGGAUGGGGAGCGUGUCUACAAAAGCUGUGUCACCUACAGCCACAGACUGUAGAGGCAAUGCAAUGACCAAGUUUUGGGUUUAUGUUUUGUUCUUACAGAAGAGGUUUUGAGAAGAGUUGAACAAAUCUGUAGAAUGCUCCCUAGGCAUCACAAAUUCUUCUCUGCUUAUGACAGAACCACUGUCAUAGAGGUUUGAGGAUGUUUCCAGCACAGACCCCACAACCCAUCUAAACUAAAACAACCAUCAGCCCCCUGUUUCAUGACAGAUGACUGCAUUGGCUUGCCGUGAACACUGGCAAGAUGAACUGGAUUAGGAUAUAAUUCUUCCAUGGAAGCUUUCACAUUGGUCAGAGAAGCAAAAUGUAUGGGUUUUACUCUUCUUAGGCCAGGCACUAUCUUUCUGGCCAUCAACAGCAGAGCCUUUCUCUUAACUGCUGUUGUACCAGGUCAUUCAAUUGCACGUGGAAAUCCUCACUUCCUAUGCACAUGGCUUCAGUGCUGAGGACAUGCUUCUACAUGCCAAUGACAACAACAGUAAAAAAAAAAAAAAGAAGUUGAUCUUAGAGUGAUUAUUUUUAAAUUGUAUUUCAGACAAUUGGUUUUCCUUUGCUGUUUUGUGUGGUAGCAGAAAAAAAUGGAAGAUUUCCAGAUUUCCCUCUGCCUCAUUUUCCUCAUCUGACAAUGUAGAUGGCAAAUUUUAUGGAAUUAAAUGCCUUUAUCUUUGUGAGAUAAGUGAAAAUCACACUUGGCUGCUCCCUGUUUCAUAUUAUCUGCAUUAGGGGAUGAAUUUGGGCUUACUCUGAACCACCCUGGAAAUCCUUGUUAUGACAGUUUUGCUUGAUCUUGAAUGUGACUGGCCUUUCAUUUCACCUGAGGUGACUGAAAAAAAGCUGGAGAGCAGCUGAACAAACAAAAAACUCUGUGGGAAUAAAACGACCUGGUUUUCCAUCUGGAUGAGCUGAGGAUGAAUUAGCUCAUGCUGGAAGUAAAUGAAAAGCAAGAUAUCUGUUCCAGAGAUACCACAGUUUCCCUCCUGAACAAUUUAACUGAAAAUGAAUUUGGAGCGGCAAGCGCAGAACUACAUCAAGCUUGCAGGUCACUGCUUCCUGGUCCUGACUGCACUGAGCAUGGCAGGCUGUGGGAAAUGAGCAGAGUGGGCUACAGUCCAUUUUCUCCCUGUCUCCACAGCUGACCUGCUUAGUAGCUUUUAUAACAGUGAGGCCACAAACUAGACAUGGAAAAUCAACACUUGUUGUGUCAGUUCAACUCAGUGCUGAGGCACACUGAUGUGCCUGAGUUAUACAUGAAUAAACAGACUAUUUCAGCCACCAGGGCUACAAGCCCCUGCAUUUUUCAGAGGAUUUUUAACUCACU